rnacentral:lncRNA from 1 species
AUAUGACUUUUAGAAGAUUAUGAUUAUUAUACUGUUUCCUUAACAAACCAAAGCCGUUACCAACAUGAGUUUAAGUGUUGAUUUGACUCUUCUACUAAUUUUAUUUGCAUAAUUACUUUGAAUAUGACUUUUAGAAUGCUACGAAUUUCAUUAUGAUCAUAUGUAGACUUAUUUUUAAGAGCACUCUUGUUUCUUUUCAAGAAUAUGAAAUAGUCAUAUGAAUCCUUUAAAUUCUAAGUUUAUUUAUCAAUCUAUGCAUGUAUGUUUAAUCGUAAAACAAACAUGUUUAAGGCAUUUUUGAGUUAAUUAACUAAUUUAACAUAUGUGAAUUUAUUUGUCAUUCCUAAAUACGAUUUUCACCAAUAGUUUGAAUCAAACUUAUUGUUAACAAGUGUUAUCAUCAAAAUUAAAUAUGUCAUUAUUUCAACAAAUGGUUCAUUAACUAAUUCUUUGUAUGUUGAAAUAAUCAUCAACCUAAUCUUAAAAGGGGUUUACGAAUGAAUCAAAAUUUCAUACAACAACAAACCAAAUUUGAGCUUAGCUCAAGAGAUUGUACAUAAAUUGGCAAAAACAUAAAGAAUUACUGAAAUGAUGUGGUAAUUCACAAUUUUUAAGAAUGUGGUGUUACGUAACUAGAAUUAAACUAUUAAAUAUAGUCAAGGAACUUGAUUGUAUGCGCCUGAUUGACUUUUAAUAUGAUCCACAAUUAACCGAGGUUAAAUCUACACUAUAUUUUAUCCUCUCUCCUUUUCAAAAUGACUUUCUAAUAUUUCUUUUCUUUGCUCAUUAAAAUGGCACAUAGACCUAUUAAAAUACGACACGCAAUGGUGAAUAUUUUAUUUUGGAAGAAGGGGCUCAAAAUCACAUUGUUAGUUCUUCAUUAAAAUCGUGGAAAAAAGUUUUAUUUGCACAGUAUAACCCAGCUACUCCUGGUGACUCUACACAAAAUCUUCCCAGCUAGCUCAAAAAUUAUCAUGCCCUUGGCACUAUCAAUUUAAUAUAAUUUGAACUACUUCAUUUUCAAUUAGGAAAGUUUCUUAAUUAGUUGUCUAUAAUAGGUCAUGUUGACUAUAUUGAUUUUCUCAUUAUUCUACUUUAUUUAGUUUUUCUUGUUUAGAAUAUAGGCUGUAAUAUAUAUUAAGAGGACAAUGAUUAAUAAAAUUAAGCCUUUACAUAUUUCUUUUUGGUAUCAGAACCAACUAAACCCUAGCCUCCAACACUGCCUUCACAAUAGCCUAAACCCUAACCCACUAGCCACCAGCCAUAGGCCAACAACAGUCCUGCCUCUAUGCAUUCCCUGUGCAACCCAGUCCAACCAACAAUCACCAGACUCAACACUUGUAACAUCCUCUUCCCUUGUGCAGCCACCACUGCAGUCACCAGCAGCCCAACCCAACCCUCACACACAGAGCCCUUGCACAACAAGUCAUCUCGUGCAUAACCAUGCUUUGUACAGUCCAUCCUUGCGCCGUCUAGCACCGUUCAGGCCUUGCACAGGCAAGCUCUUGCACAGUCGCGCAGUCUAGCUUCGUUCAAGCCUCACACAGGCCAACGCAUACACCAUCAAGCAGUCCUGUAGGCCAGCCCAUGUGCCAUCCAGUAGCAUCAUAGUCCAGCAUAGCCGCAUAUUCCAGCAACCCCUACAUCGUCUAGUAGUCCUAUAGGCCAUCCCCUGCACUGUCUAGUACAUUUAGCAGCCGCGCAAUCUAGCACAGCCACACAGUCUAGCAACCAGUAGCCCCAUAAUCCAACAACCAGUAGUCAGUAGUCUAGCGCAGCCAUCAGUUGCACAGUGCAAUUCAGCCUCCAGUCAUUGCGUAGUCUAGUGUAGCCAGCAGUAGCUGCUCGUGCAGUCCAUAUAUCGUGAAGUCUAUAUGUCUGAUAGUAUGACACUUUAAAAAAAAUAUAUUCUCCUUUGAUUUCCUAAGAUUGAUUCUUGGUGUUACGUUGAUAGUUAACCCAGUCAAGGAGGUUGCCCCAGCCCAUAUGGUUUUGUGCCCAACUCCUAUCUACCUAUCUUUUAGUCCCACGGACGCUAUAGUUGCAGGUACUCUUAUCGCUUUUCAUGAUAAGUCAAGUCACCCCACUUGAAUUCUGAAUUUUGGAGCUAAUAAUAACAUGACUGGUGAGCUUUCUACUUUUACCUCUUCUAUUAGUUUCAUAAAUCAAUCUGUUUGUAUUGCUGAUGGACCAUCUAUUCCCAUUUAUAGUCAGGGUGAUGCCCACUUUUCCACAGAUAUUACUCUUUCCUCAAUUUAUUAUGCUCUGAAUUUUGCCUAUAAUUUUCUUUCUGUUAGUUGUCUUGCAAAAAACCUUAAUUGUGCCGUUGUAGUCUUACCAUCUCGUUGUUUCUUGCAGGACUUGAUUUCGAAGAAGAUUCUUGGCAGGGGAUAUGAGAGUGAUGAACUGUACUACUUUGGGGAUCCGCCAACAUCUAUUGCUUUGUCCUUCAAUCUUCAAGCCUCUACUCUACCAGUCUUAGAGCCCUCCAUUUUAAGUU